rnacentral:rRNA from 1 species
UGCCUCAUACUCGGGGAUAGCCUUUCGAAAGAAAGAUUAAUAUCCGAUAGCAUAUAUUUCCCGCAUGGGUUUUAUAUUAAAGAAAUUCGGUAUGAGAUGGGGAUGCGUUCCAUUAGUUUGUUGGCGGGGUAACGGCCCACCAAGACUACGAUGGAUAGGGGUUCUGAGAGGAAGGUCCCCCACAUUGGAACUGAGACACGGUCCAAACUCCUA